AGCGAACGCUGGCGGCGUGCUUAACACAUGCAAGUCGAGUGCGCGUGCCGUAGCAAUACGGCAUGGCGCACGGCGCACGGGUGCGUAACACGUGGGUAACCUGCCCUCCAAAGGGGGAUAACCCCCGCGAAAGCGGGGCUAAUACCGCAUGACAUUCCAGAGACUCCUGUCUUUGGACUCAAAGCCCGCAAGGGCGUUGGAGGAGGGGCCCGCGCCCGAUUAGCUUGUUGGCGAGGUAAUGGCUCACCAAGGCUAUGAUCGGUAGCCGGU
rnacentral:rRNA from 1 species